UGGUGUGGACACUAAUGGACAAUCAGCUAAAACAAACAUCAUUGUUAUUUGUAGACAAUGAGGAUUUAGUUUGAAAACAAAUUUGUUUAUGACGUCACAUUAGAGGAUUGUUUCGGCGACAAUGCGAUUUAUGAUGAUAAGCAAGAAACGGACAGAAACAGAAGAAAGGAGAUCAAUUAUAGAACGCGAGACGAUUUAUAUUCGAGAAAAAGCGAAAAGUGACGUCAGAAUUGAAGAAACUUCGACAAAAGACCCUGAUGCAUAUCGUCCAAACUUUAACUUAAAAGAAGCUUUCAAACUAAAACCCCCUGCUCUGACGUCACCAACUGAUGACGUCAUCGCAGCGUUAAAAGUGGCGAUGGAUAUAAAUGGAGAGUUGUCAUUGGUUGAAAUACACAAGUCAAUAGAAACCUCAUUGAACGGGCUGAAGCAGCAACAUGCAGAGGUACAAGAAGCCGUCUGUGACGUCACACUACUCAAGCGAAUCGUCGAUGGUGUUCUCAAGCCCGUCAGCGACAUCGUGCGGCAACCACGGAUCGAUGGCGUAGAGUCGCUACGAUUAUUACGUCAUAAUCAUAAACAAGUGGUUCGAAAAUCUCUACUCGGGGGAAUCACCGAUCGGUUGGAUGACGUCACUCUAGGGGAAUCCCCUGUACCCUCUGUGACAUCACAAGCCGAUAACAAUCGACCAGCACGAACACGAUCUUGCAUAUUACCCCCUGUAGCGAAACCCCCCACCCCAACCCGAAGAUUCCGCGCCCCCGCCACGUCAGGGGUAAGGUACCCCCCUAUCAUGAACGCGUCGCUAACCAGGAACCCACAGAAAGGGAGAAUCCCUUCACCCCCUAAGUUACCCUCCCCACAACAAAGGAACAAUCUCACCAACAAUGGACACGCUGAAUUACACGACGAACUACGUCAUUACAUUGAUGACGUAGACACACAUACGUGUACAAUGCAAUCGUUGUUUACGUCAUACACGCAGAGAGUGUUGGUUCCAUUGCAAACGUUUUGUAAACAACAUCGAACAAGCAAAUGCCGAUCAAAAGAUCCCAAGGAACAAACAACCAACGAAGCGACAAUCAACGACCAACUCCAUCGGUGCGAGUUCGAAAUUGUUCAAACAAUGAACAACAUCAGGUUGCUUUUGUGGCCACCGCUAGACGGCGUACCAGUGCACACGUUCGCCGACCAUGGAUAUUCGAAACAGAUCGCGAACGAACUCGAUUGUGAAAGAUUCCCCGUAGUGCGCCUCCUACCGGAUGUUUUACAGAAGUUCACCGAGGUACUCACACGCGCCACCACGUGGCUGAAGAAAGACAUGGUGUACACGCAGAACGCGAAAGCCGCUUUGCAUCGAGCGCAUCGGAGGUAUCUUAAGACGGAACGAGAUUGGCAAGAGGCUCGAAGCCAACAUCGAAAACUAUUGGCUGACUGGGAUCACGUGAGUGCCGAGGUCCAAUCAAACACCGCCCGCUUGGAGACACUAGAGCAUGACAUAGAAAUGUUAAAAGACGACCUUGAGAAGUCACAUGACCAGCGUCGAACUUUGGAGACGAAGCUUCGAACGAACGAUGACGACCUUGAACACUUGAGGGCGCGACAUCGAGCGUUUCGACGUCGAAUAAUCGCGCUUACAUCGAAAAUAGAAGCACGUGAGCGGAAUUACGCCUUCAUGGAGUCACGUGUUCGUUCCAAACGAGCUGACCAGGAAGCGAUCCAGGAGAAACUGAGAAUUAGCGAAGAGUUUACGAAUUCACGGCAACUGAUGAUGCAGCAGUUGUUUAACAGCAGAGCUGCUUGGAGCAGGAGGUGGGCGGGUUGGGUAGCGAAUAUUAAAUUGAAAAAAAGAAUGGAAUUAAUCAUACAUUCUGACGUCACACAUUAUAACAAUACCCAUCCAGAUAUCAAGAGAAGACGGACGCUGAGGUUCUAAAGACUCGGUUCCAGAUGGUGAAACUUCGAAUCCCACUCCCGGCAGUUCGGGAGAAAACUUUCAUUUUGAAAUCGAGGAUGGAAAAUUUGCAAGAAGCUCUCUCAUUGGUCGACGCGAGACUCAGUGAGGAUAAGAUUCAUUGGUCGGCUCUCUGCUGCCAUCUAACGUGGCCCGAUCACUUUCUUCUAACAUUACCCAACAUGGCGUCACAACUACCCAAUAUGACGUCACAAUGCGAGCUGAGCGACAGUGACGAUUCGUCAUCAUCUACGUCAUCAACGUCAGCGGGAAAACCCCAGAUAUGGAAACCAUUCACCCGUAUCGUUGACCACGUGACCUCCCGUUACCCUAACAACGAAGGAAAACAACGGUCGUUCAUGUUGAGGUUGUGGGUUGCGCAGAACGGCCAACGCGCAACUAUUGAGAAACUACUACAUGGACUUCGGGCAUCAAGAAAUCAUGACGUAGCUGCUUACGUAGAACGAUGCGUGCGGUGACGUCAUAUUGACGUCACUCGGGGUUUAUUGAGCCAUAACCAGUUUCAUUAUGACGUACUAUAGUCUUCCAUAUACUGUGUGAAGGUGUUUGUGACGUCAUUUAUUACGUCAUCAUUCAUAUUUUUGAAACGAUGGUUGCGAACAAUGCUGCUUGUUACGUCACAAUACUGCCCUAUUACGCAAUAUCCUCUAUAUUUUCAAUCAUGAUUAACAAACGAAGUCAACUUGACUUAAAUAACUUAGUUGUAGUUUAAUUGACAACUUUCUAAAUAUGGAAAUGUUUCAAACCAAGUGUUACGUCAUUGAUCGCUUUGUGUUCGUAAUAAACAAACUAUUAUGCA